GGCUCCUGCAAGAUAGCCCGGCCGAUUCUCGCAGCCCACUAAAAGCCGGCCGGCACGCCGACGGCCUUCGUCCUCUUGCACCGGCGCGUCGCCGCGAUCCCAGCCGGCACGGGCGCCUGUUCCCCCCUUGCUCCUGCUCCCCGUUCGCGCCGCCGUUGCCGCGCGCCUCCAUGAACUUCUCCGACGACUGGCGCUUCCUCUUCCCCGUCUCCUCCGUGUUCAACCCUCCUUCCCUCGCCCCGCCGGACGCCUCCCACGGGCCCCUCUUUUUCACCCCUCUCCCGCCGCCCACCCCGCUCCUCUCCCUCCCCUUCCCCUCCCCCCCGCCCCUGCACGCCUCCACCGCCGGCGACCUCCGCCACGCCCUCCGCUACUUCAUCGCGUCCACCUCCUUCCUCCCCUACUCCGAUCUCAACUCCCUCUCGGGACCCCUCCUCGCCGCGCCGUCGCCGCCGUUCCCACCUCCUUCCAAUCUUCUCGCCGUCCUCCCCUCCCGCUCCUCAAGCUCUCUCAUCCUAUUUUUCCCGUACGGCGAGAAUGCGGAGAAGGUUGCUUUCGCUCUUGUGAGCUCGCCUGUUGAGAGCUCUGCGCCUGUUUCGCCCUUCGUUCAGAGUGAUGGGUUCAAGCACCCUGGGCACCGCAUACUGCAGCUUGCUGCUAUUCCUGCCCAGUCGUCCUGGCCAUCGGAGCCGGAUGACAGCCCUGUCGAGGGCUUCCUGCUUGCUGCUACAUUGUACUCAGUGAGUUGGUUCAGGAUCGAGUCACGCGAUUCGGGUUCCCCGGUGCUCAUACCGGUGGCCAAGCAGGGGUUUGAUGCUGCUCUCGUGCACACGUGCUGGAGCAGGCAUUUGCCGUCACAAUGUUUGGUGCUGCUGGAGAGUGGGGAGCUGUGUUGGUUUGAUCUCCAUACACGACUUGGAGGAAAGACGAGGGUUGGUUUUGGCAGCAAUGGUGAAGACUGGGGAGACUGGCUGAGCUGUGUGUAUGGAGCGCAACCGUGGAUGGUGAUCGUCGCAAGCACAAAAGCCGUCCUUUUGGUUGAUUUGAGCAUUAUAGAUCAUGCUGACAAAUACGAUAUCGUGGAAAACGAGCCACACAAGUUUCAGUACAAGGUUCUAGCAAAAGUUGGGUUCCCAGGGUUGUUUGAAACUGAGCCUUUUGACAGCCCUGAGCAUUAUAUUGCAUUCUGCAAGGCUGGGUUUGAUGAUUCACAUAUAUCAGUAGUGACAGAGCGGCACUUGAUACUCCUUGAUGUGACAAAGCCGUUGGAACCUGUGUUGGCUUGGCAGCACGGGCUUGAGAGCCCAAAUCAUGUUGCUAUGUUUCGGCUAUCCGAAUUGAGACCUUCCAAGGAAUAUGAAUGGGCUUCAAAUUCAGGUUUUGCCAUUUUGGUUGGUUCGUUCUGGAAUGAGGAGUUCAGUUUGUUCUGUUACGGGCCUAAGGAGGAAGGCUGUCCAGAUAAUUCUCGUUUAUACGCUUGGGAUAUUCCUUCUAGGCUUUCUCUGACAGGUCAGCAUUGUGCCUGCAGCAAUGGAAUCAUGAAAGAGAUAUUCUCAACGCCUGUUUCUGGAUAUGAUGGGUAUGCUUCCCAAUACCGGGCUAAGUCCAUUGUUGGCUACUAUGUGCUUCCAGAUGACCUGUCAAUAUUGGAGCCAACAUCUGCUAGCUUUGCCUUGAUCCGGCUAACAGCAUUGGGAAAGUUAGAAAUGCAACAGUAUCGUGCAUAUCGAGGUUUGCAUGAUGAAAUUGACACCCCAUGUGAUGAAUCAGAACAUGCAUCCACGGACAUUUUGAUUAACACUCAAGGAGAAAAUGUCUCAACCAAAUAUCGAUUCUUGAAGUUGCAUUUCCUACAUGAACAUCUGAAGGGCAAUCUACACAGUGCGUUGGCGAAGCAUGAUACUAGUGUUAACAGAGACAGAGAUCAAAUCAUUAUUAGUGAAGAUGUGUUAGCAUUUGCAGAGGAUAACUCUAGAUCCAGCUUGCUGCCAGUUUCAGAUUUCCUAUGUAAUGCUAGCAUCCCCAUGAAUGUUUUCGAAAUUGCAUGUGAGAGCAUAUUGAACAGUCUACCUUCAAAUAUUCUUCAUGUCUCCCUUUCUAAAUACAAGGAUAUGCUAAAAUGCGGUACAAAUGAAGGCUUAGUAGAAUAUUUAAAAGUUCCUAGCUGUUCGCCGCAUAAUGAACUUCGGCCUUUCCUGUUAGCAAAACCAUCAAGCACAUGUGAGAAGGUGACUAGCAAAGCGGUAUCUCAAAAUGCUCUUGUUGGGCCAGUGCUCCCUGUGCAUGUCCUACUUGCAAUGGAAGAGAUGAACAGGGGCAUCGACAGCCCUUCAGAAGGAGAAACUGCAGAAACUGACUUAGUACGCCAUCGAUGUAGUGAGGUUCUCGAAGCCUUUGUUCCUGAAAUAUCUAUUGCCGGGUCCGACAACGUUGAUGGAUGGUUUUCCUCACAAAAGUUGAAUGACAAGAAGUCAUAUUUUGUUUACGAGCCUCGAAUCGAGAAUAAGUUUAUUCUUGAUGAAACUGUUGUAAAGAAGGAAAACGAAGGGCAAAAGGUUGCUGAUCAUGCAUCUUUUGAAAUGUCUGCAACACCAUACAAGGAUGAGAACUUCAUGACAUUUGUUUGUGGAAAAGCUGGGACUCUUGAUUCUGGGCCUGAACAAGCCACAUCUGAUUUGUUUGAUUUCACCCCAGUGAGGAUGGAUUUUGCUUCCACAGAUCUAGACAUUCAACCUGACGAGGAAAAAAUAUACACAUGCUUGAAGACACAAUUUUUAAGAUGGCAAAGUAAUUUCAAGCCAUACAAAGAUUUUUGUAGCUCAUAUAAAAUACAAAAGCCUUCAUAAUGGCUUGCGGUGCUCCAUUCAUUUCUAGGAUUUGUCGCCUUGAGGUGCAUUUUAACGGGAAUUUCAUGCACUUGAUGUUAAGCAUUGGUGCACCAUUUACAGACCGUGGUAGCAAGGCAGCAAGAGUCCAAGCCAUAUUGGGGCAUUACAUAGGCGACAAGGAGGGAGUGUGAUCGCAUCAGAAGUUGAACAUUUUGUUGAGUGAUAGCAUUAGUGUGGGCGUUCUUUCCUCUUCUUCUUUGUUGAGAAAAAAUGUGUAGCAGUUGUAACCUAACUAGACAUGUGCACUCAUAAAAAAUCUGUCUCACGAGUUUUUCUUCAUUUCAGUUGAGCCAAAGCGUGCCAUUCGGGCGAAGUUUUAGGCUAAAUUCUUGGUUUUCUAUGGGCUGCAAGAUGGGGGCAUUUAUGGGACAAGCCAAAUAGCCAAAAUUUGGCUUAGUUUGCAACAAUAGUGGCGUAGUUUGCCUGUUGAACUUUGCAGUGAAGUGCACAUAUUUUUCUGGAGCACCGACCAUUGUAUCAUUGUAUGCCAUGAUUCUGAAGCUCCAUGCAUAGCAAAUCCGGUCACAGGAUCGCCUCGUGAUUAAUGGUACUUAUAUUGUACUUUCGCAUUGAGAAUACAGUUGAGAACUCUCAUAAUUUUGUUCUCAGUGCAUUGUAAAAUGACAGUUGACAAGCUGAAGAUCCUUUUUGUGUAUGCUCUGCUAGUGAACUGCCAAUCACUAUAAUUUGUUUAUGGAACAGCUCGUGAGGAGCUAUGUUUCCCUCUCUA